rnacentral:lncRNA from 1 species
UCAAACGAAUAAGUUCGUUAAAGACCUCGGGAUAGUUUUGGACCUUAAGGCCCAAUGGGCUUUGAACGUCAAGCCCAUUAACUUAAGUUGUAUGACAAUUUAAUGAAUAAAGAUUCAAAAAGGCCCAAAAGCCCAAAUCCCUUUAGGUGGCCGGCCAUGAAGGAGAAAAUUGGUUUUGGUUCUUUAGGUCACUUAUUUGAAGAGACUAUAUAAAGGACUUUAUAGCUAAAAUUCAUUAAGGCUUCUUUUUGGAGAAAAUUGGUGAGAACAUGUCUCUCCUUUUCUCUCUAGGAGGAAGGUCACCUUGGAGGGUACAUCUAGCAAUCCUACUACUCCAAGGUCACUCAUUUCUUCUACAAUCUAACCUUGGUGAAGAGACUUAGAGGUUCCCUAUUUUGGGAACUUGGAGAAACCUAUUCUUCCAUCCAAAUCCAUAGAUUUAAGAUGCAAGGAAUGAAGGCCCUCUCUUUGGGUGAUUAGCCUUUGCUUAUGCAAAGAGGAAUCUUCAAAGGUAUAAAUUUCAACUCACUUUGUUUUGAGUUGAUUAAUGGUUCACCAAUCUACUAUGCUUUGAAUUUCUUGGUUAAUGUUUUGUUUUUAAGUGCAUGCUAGCAUGAUUCCGCCUUUAAUUGUUAAUUGCAUGCUAUAUGAUGUUGCUUAAAUGAACAUGUUUUCACAAAAUCUUCCUUCAAGUGGUAUCAGAGCCUAGGUCUAGUAGUUGGUGAAUCCUUUUGGGUUUUGUGGUUCAUAGUUUGUGAUUUAAAAGUUGUAAUAUGUUACAAGCUUUAUUCUUGUUUCUUUGAAUGUAAAUUUUGUUAGAAAAAUUGCCAUCUCAAAUGUUGUAGAUGUAGUUCAUAUGAGCAUGAAUAUUGGAGCUAAAAUUUGGUGCCAUGACUUUGGGGAUUUUCGGCCAAAUCCUAAGGGUGGAUUUUUGGGUUCUUGUUUGACUUGUUAAAAGUGUUUUAAGGUGACUUUUGGAACCCCUAUGUACCCUAGUUUGGUUAGAUGUUAUUUCCCUAAAGUUUGAAUGGUUUUGGAAUGUUUUUGGGUGAAAAAUGUUCAUGGAAAAUUUUGAGUUUUUUCAUGAGUGUUCUUCAUUGUUCUUGACAUUUUUGCCAAGAACAAAAAGGUUUGUGUUUUGAUUCAAAGUCUUUGUUUUAUUUCAUAAAGUCUUUGUUUUGUGCUUUAUCAAAUGUUUUAAUGUGAUAGAAAUUGUGUAAGGUGAUGGAAAUGGUGAUAGGUGUGUAAGAAGUACUUCUCUUACACACACAUCACUUGCAUGAAUUUAUGUCACAAAUUCCACUUGCAAGGCUUUAUGAAAAUGUUGAAAAAAUUUCCAAAUUUUUGUGGACUUAUCUCCACUCCCUUUCCCUCUCUAAAAACCGGCCCUCCCUCAAUGGGAGUACUUUUGGGUCUUUUAUGCAAUUACAUAAAGUUUUGAUACUUUUGUGUAUUUGCACUUUGGCCCAAAAGUUUAUGUUUUUACGUUUAGGUCCAAAAACGCUGAAGGACAAAUUGUUUUGCUCCUUUAAUGAAGUUUUUGCAUUGAUUAAAUUUUGGGUUCUAGUGUAAUUACAUGAAGUAGUGGACUUUUGUGUCUUUACAAAGUGACCCCAAAAGUUUUGCAAUAUAGCCCAAAAGUUGAGGUUAAUUGCUUUAUGGCCCAAUAAGUUGUGGUUAUUGCAUAUUGGCCCAAAUUAGAUAGAGAACAAAAUUGUUUUGUCUCUUUAAAUGAGAAUUGGAUUUUCAUUUUGUUUAGCUCCAUUUAAAUCAAAUUACAAAAAACCAAUUAUGGAUACAAAAACCAAAUGAAAAUGUUGCAUUUAAUUUAAAGUUAAAGUGUUAAUUAAUUAAAGGGUGAUUAUGAACCUAAGCCUAAUAUAAUUGAGCUAUGUGAUAGGCCGUUUCAAAUUUGUUUGAACCAUGGGAAUGUGUAGAUUAGAUUUUGGUUGUAAUUUGAUUUGAUCAAAUGUUGUAAAAGGGCUUAAGCUCUUCUUUACUUUAAAGUAAUUUGUUUUAUGCAAAUGUUGUAAUGAGCAUAAGCUCACCUUUACUUUGAAGUACUUCUUUCUUGCUUUAUAUGAUAUGCAUGAAAAUGAAGUAGUUGGGUCCAACGCCCCUAAGACAACAAGCCUUAAUGUGAUUAAACGCGUAACUAAAAUCAAUCUCCAUCCCUAGACCGAGAUUCAACACAAGGCUCGUGUUGAAUCUAAACAAAGGUUCAUAGUCAUCCUAAGGCCCUAAGGCAACUAUAUAGUCCAUCGAAUGAAUGCAAAGGUUAUGUUAGUAGUAUCAUAUACUUCUUGCUUUAAAAAAACGUUUUAUAAGCAUAGUGGGAGUAUUAUAUACAACUAAAAACAAUCAUAUGGACCAAUAGUUGUAAUAGGACCAAAAUUGUUUUAAUAGAGAUUAAAAUGUAUGAUUAUAUGUGAUGAGACCUAAAACCCUCAGCCAAACCAUUAUUAAGUUGAUAAGCGUGAGAGUGCUUUGAACACUCUUUCGUGGCCUUCCACCGUGGUAGGCUCCAAUCGUUUGUGACUCGUACACCGGCUUCACCCUAUAAUGGGGGAGUACAAAGUGCGUGCUUACACUCAGGAGGAGUUCUAUAUACAUACAUGCAUGAUGAAGUGAGGUAGGCAACGAGUUUAGCCAACAUGAUAUAAUUCUGAGGCUAUGCUUGAACCCCUACACGAACUAGGCAUGGUGGGAAUGACUUAACAAAGUGCAAUGACGCCAACGUGAUAUAAUUCUGAGGCAAUCAUUCUCUAGAGGCCAAAUAAGAUGGGUACUUGCAUUAGAUGCAAAUGAGUAAGCGUACUCUCUCAUUAUUAUUAACGCUAGCCAACAUGAUAUAAUUCUGAGGUGGGCUUGGUAAUAGUGAGCCUCCCAUAACCUACUAAGAGUUUCCUCCAAAACUCUCGAAUUCCAAUGAGGGAUAUGGAAUUUGCCAAAAAUAGUGGGUGGUGCUAUUUGAUUUAAAGACCCGAGUCAAAUGGCUUAAAAUCAAUCAAUUUAUAUUCGUUAUGUAUUUGUUUACCAAUAUAUUUGCAAACGCUAUCCAACACUUGACAAAUACCGAAUGUUUUAGUUUCCGAACUUAGUACCACAAUCCCAAAGAAUGUCUUAUAAAGAUUGCAUAUGUAUUUAAGUAGUCUCAUCCUCACAAUCUUCCUAAUGAUAAUGUAUCAUUGGAAGAACAUGUUAGAAAAGUCUAUCAUGAAGAGGACAACACAAACAACCAAUGCUUAAUCCUUUGUUAAAUGAACAAAGGAACUUACGAAGAUUAGCAUAAUGACAAGGACACUUUUAGUGUUAUUAGUUCUUCACUUACAAAUCGUUGUAUGAAGAAAUAACAGUUGCUUUGAACAACCCUUAGUCAAUGCAAACACUAGUGCGUGUUUCUUUGUUAAAUGAACAAAGAACUUGAGAAGAAAGCACAAAGGCAUGGACACUUUAUGUGCCAUGAUUCUUCACUUACAAAUUGUUGUAUGAAGAAAUGAGAGUUGCCUUGUACAACUCUUGAAAGUUUGUAAUUAUGUUUAGAACAUAAUGGUUGGUUGACAAAAAUAGUCCAUCAACAUGGACUUAUGAUGAUUUUGAAUCAUUGAGUGUUGAAGUGUUAAACCACUUAACGAGACGGAAACUAGGCAAGGACUUCACCUAUGUGUCCCUAUCCUAAUGGUUCACUAAGUUUAUUGUAAACUAUGUAGUGAACAAUAACCACACACUCUCCAAAUUGUUUGAUGUGUAUAACACAAUUGAAAUAAGUUUCAAGAGAGAUAGUGGGAGUUUAGGGACCAUGACUAUUGUAGUCAAAGGAGAAGUCAAAUGAAGAAAGCGAAAUAACUCCAAGGGAACAAACUUUCUUUAUGAAAGGAUGGACAUUGGAAGGGGUAUUUGCAAGAUAUGUCUUGCAAGUGUCAAGAACACACCUUUCGAAGGUGUUGUAAAAUGUUCUUGAAAAGUUCAAAACAGUUGGUUCUUCUACUUGAAUGCUUGAAUCCGUAUUAGUAACUAUGUUUUACAAUCGUUGUAAAAGUGUGACUAAUAAGAAGUAGAAGAUAAAUGAGAGAAGAGAAAGUACUUCACAUUCGAAACGUGAAUCAAAUGUAGAUCUCUGCGAAAGCAGAUGGUACUUACUUUCUCAUAUGAACUACCAAAGAAAUUGGAAAACAUAGAUUGUCUUUAUAUUCCAAUUUUAAGGAACUAAAUUCCGUCACUGUGUGAAAUGGAUAAAUGUUUUGUUUGACAAAACAUUGUUCUUUAUUAAUCAAUGAUUGGAUUAUGGUAAUCUAAUUGAUUAUCUCUAUAGUAGAGAUAAUAUGGUGGUGUUAACUGUUUAGAAUAUAAUGAUGCUUAAAACCCAAAAAGGUUGUAAGGUAGUGACUAAUCCCAACUAAGUUGUGAUUCCUCUAAAAACAUAAAUUACGAGUUGGUAAUAAAUGGAUGCUUUGGAUUGUUAGAUCCGGAUCCAAUACCUUCUUGUUAAAAUUGUAUAGAGGCGAAAUGUUUGAAUCUUUAUUCUUUUGGAAGAAGAAAGAAUCACAAAGUUGUUAAGGUUAAUUCACUUAGAUGUUAGUGGCACUUGUCCACAACAUAAUACUACUCAUGUUGGAUGACGUUCACCGAAGAUCACUCUCGGUUGGACUAUAGUUUAUCUUGAAUAAACACAAGUCCGAAUACUUUGCAAAAGGUUUCAAAGAAUUCAAGAAAUGUAAGUUGAUGAGUAAGGCGUCUAAAGUAUUUACAUCCUUAGAUUUGAUCCAAGGAAUGGUAACACUUUAGAAUAGUUUCCUUGAAAGAUAUCAAGGAAAUAAGCAUCAUAAGAUAAUAAAUUUCUCCAUUAAGGAGAAGAACGAACUCGAAUAAGAUUUAGUUCGUUAGAUGUUAUCUAUUACCCAUAUAUAGGAUAUAUACUUCUAAAACAAUAUGAUUGUCAAUUAGAAGAUCUUCCAAAUUUUUCAUGACUCCAUAAGAUGUAGUUGGAAAGAAAGACAAAUCUUAAGCAUGUUAAGAUUUGGGGUUGUGUGCUUAUAAGCAAUAUUUGUUUGAUAACAAUCUUGUAGGAUAUCCUUAAAUUAACUUUUGGAUAUCGCUUCUAUAAACCAACUAACAAAUGUUGUUUUGUUGGGUAGUUCAUUGUAAUCCUACAAUGUGAUUUGCCUAAGAGCAAAUGAACGAGAGAUAGAACUCAAAGAAUGGGUUCUUUGAGUGACAAGAAAGUAAUCAACAAAUAUGACAACCUAGUUCCUAUACCACAAGCUCCAAGGUAGUCGAGAAGGAUUAAUAAACCGUCUCAGUUGAAUGGUUUGAACUUUAUGACUAUGUCAUAGAGUUGCACCUCUUAAUUCGAAAGAAAUAAGAAUGAAAAUCCUUAUGACUACAUUGAGUGUAUAUAUGAUAUAUACUCAAGGAAAUGGUAAAGUACCAUUUAACCCGAAAUAAUGAAACCUUCAUAGCUAAUUGGUAGCUUAAGGUGACUACAAUCAAAGAGAAUGGUUGACUUUGAAGGAACCAUUUUUGACGUAGUCUUAGUUUCAAUUAAUUCGAAGAUUGCUAGCUACAACUAAAUGGUGAUUUAAUGUUUGGACAUAAUAUAGGUUUCCGAAACCAUUAUUAAGAUAGUCUUGAUAAUAUAUGUCUAAAACUAUGAAUCACAAGACAUGUAAGUUGUAGAGAUCCAUCCAUCAUGGAUCUUAGCAAGCUAGUGGGAGCUAUAAGCAUCUUAUGAGAAAAAGGAUCAAAUCGUUUGAUUUCUCAUAAAGAUGUAAAUGAAUCUUUUGUUUACUAGGUUUACAAAAGAUUAGUGGGAGUUAAUCAUGUUCCUAAAAUUUAAAUAUAUAUAUGAUAUAUUAAUUUUGGAAAUGAAAUAAAUACUUCUUCGUUAAAGUUAUGACUUUAAAACAUUAUAUGAAGAUAGAAUGUUUAUGGGAGUUAAUCAUGUUCCUAAAAUAUAAAUAUAUAUAUGAUAUAUUAAUUUUGGAAAUGAAAAGAAUACUUCUUCGUUAAAGUUAUGACUUUAAGCAUUCGAUAACGAUAUAAUGUAUAUGGGAGACAUAGUCUAUAAACAUGGGAUGGAAAUCUAUAAUGAUAGAUUUUAGGAUAUAAUUGGAUUAUAUCAAGCCCUAAAUAAUAGACAAGAGUUGCUAUGAAGUUUCUCAUAUGAUGAUGAACUUCAAAUAAAAAGGGCAACUCUAGUGAGACUAAGAAGUUACUCUUCUUAAAGGGAACGUUCCCCUUUGACUCCCAAAGAAAUAAUGCGUAAAUAGAAUCCUUUAUGCAUACGCACAAAGGUGAUUUAUGUAUUUCAUAUUGUAUGAAAAACAUUGAUAUGAGUUGUACCUAGAACGGUACAAGACGAUAUCAGUGCAAGCCCAGGAUCAGAACCAUGGCAACUGUCAAGUGAGUCCUUAAGUAUUUAAGAAAUACUAAAGGAUCAAUUCCUCAAAGAUCGAGGAAGAAUUAGAGUAACGUAAUGGAAGCGUAAAUGUAUUAGAUUAUGAAUCUAAUCCAUCAUUGGAUGUUUCUUCAUUAUGAAUGAAGAGAUAAACAGAUAUCUCUUUAUUAUGACUAAAGAGAUAUUUGGAUGGAAACAUUAAAGUAAUGACUUUAGUGUGUUCCAUUAUGAAUGCAAAAUAUAUUGCCAUAAAGAACCUUACAACAAUGUUGUUUGGAUGGGAAAGUUCAUUUAUGAACUCUCUAUUCGGUUCCAACCAGAAAGUGUAUGACACUAAUGGGGCGAUAGCUCAAGCUAGGGAAUCAAGGUCUCAUCAAGAUCCGAACUCAUAUGAGAGACCGAACCACAUGAUUGAGAAUCAUGUAUAAUGGUGACCUCGUUAUUCUCAAGGUUGCUUCUAUGGAUAACAUAUAGAUAUCCAUUGUCUAGGCCUACUAUUCAGCCAUUUAUGAAAUGACUACAGAAGAGGUAUCAUCACUGAUGACUAAGCUGAUUGGCUCUAGUGCAAGUGGGAGAUUGUUGGAAAUGUGCCCUAAAACCAAUCAUGUGAUGAUACUUUACGGACAUUUCACAUGUUAAACUAAUCUAGUUUAAUAUAAAGGGCAAAGAUUAUUGUUUGAGCCGUCUCAUAUAAAUGUUAUAUGCUUAAACGAUAAAGUCCAAGGAAUAUGUGAUUGGGAGAAUGCAAUCUAAUGAAGUUAGAUUCAUGAGACCAUUCUUUCGUAGACACAUCCUAAAUGUUCCUGAUCAUAGGAUUGUCAAUUGGGCAUUGACAGUCCGUUAAGAUCGGUACGUACUGUGUCUUCUCUCAGGGAGAGUGACUAGUCUCGAGUCAUUGGUGUGUGUGACAUCAAGACAAGUACGUAGGUGCUCAAUAGAAAAUGAGUUCACUGAACACGAUCAACGAAGAGUUCUCAUAUUCAUGUCAUAUGAGAACUCAUGGUUGGGAUAAUGCAAAGUAGUCCUUUGACCUGAGGCAUCACAGUUGUCUUGUGGUUAAGUCCUUGAUCUUUGAUUAUGUCAAACGUCAUUCCAUUGGAGUGUCCACGGCAUCGUUGGGGUUAAGCCACUUAGCCAUGGAGGCAAGUGAAUGCGCAACAAGGGAUCUCUAACCUUCAAACCGUUUGAGGGAGAAUACUCUAUGAUAUGAUUAAAACCUCUGGCCAGAGUAUGAAUGAGAUUUAGAAAUGUCGUUCUAAAUCACAUUCAAGGUAAUCAUAUAAGCACACAAAUCACAUUGGAUAGUAGACAUGAAUAAAUAAACUAUCAAACCAAACAAUGUGGUCAAGAGUAUUAGAUUAGAGAAAGACCGUAUUGCAUUUGUAAUCCUAAACUGAAUAGGUUCUCCACCUCUUCUGAUUAGCUUGGGUAACCAUGAUAUGCUGCUAGGUGUCACUCAUGGUUUGUGGAAGCCCUAAACGUAUAUAAUCACUAAAGGGAGAAUUGAAAGUAAGUUUCAAUUCACAAUCGAUGUAAAAUGGUUUUAAUCGCCCACUGCCUCGCUAAAAGGAACCUAAUGGAUCGUACACCGUGUAAGGUGGAGAUUGAAGAAACAAUGGAGAUGAGUAAGAAUAAUUAAAUGGUUUAAUUAUUUAUGGCAAGGAUUAAUUAAUAUGUUAAUUAAUCAAACGAAUAAUUUCGUUAAAGACCUCGGGAUAGUUUUGGACCUUAAGGCCCAAUGGGCUUUGAACGUCAAGCCCAUUAACUUAAGUUGUAUGACAAUUUAAUGAAUAAAGAUUCAAAAAGGCCCAAAAGCCCAAAUCCCUUUAGGUUGCCGGCCAUGAAGGAGAAAAUUGGUUUUGGUUCUUUAGGUCACUUAUUUGAAGAGACUAUAUAAAGGACUUUAUAGCUAAAAUUCAUUAAGGCUUCUUUUUGGAGAAAAUUGGUGAGAACAUGUCUCUCCUUUUCUCUCUAGGAGGAAGGUCACCUUGGAGGGUACAUCUAGCAAUCCUACUACUCCAAGGUCACUCAUUUCUUCUACAAUCUAACCUUGGUGAAGAGACUUAGAGGUUCCCUAUUUUGGGAACUUGGAGAAACCUAUUCUU